rnacentral:rRNA from 1 species
UACGGAGGGUGCAAGCAUUAAUCGGAUUUAUUGGGCGUAAAGGGCGCGUAGGCGGGGAUGUAAGUCAAAUGUGAAAUCCCGGAGCUCAACUCCGGAACGGCAUUUGAGACUGCAUUUCUUGAGGGUAGGCGGAGAAAAUGGAAUUCCACGUGUAGCGGUGAAAUGCGUAGAUAUGUGGAAAGAACACCUGUGGCGAAAGCGGUUUUCUAGCUUAUUCCUGACGCUGAGGCGCGAAAGCAAGGGGAUCAAACAGG